rnacentral:rRNA from 1 species
GACAGAGGGUGCAAACGUUGUUCGGAAUUACUGGGCGUAAAGCGCGUGUAGGCGGCUUUGCAAGUCGGGUGUGAAAGCCCUCAGCUUAACUGAGGAAGUGCGCCCGAAACCGCUUGGCUUGAGUACCGGAGAGGAUGGCGGAAUUCCCCAAGUAGAGGUGAAAUUCGUAGAUAUGGGGAGGAACACCGGUGGCGAAGGCGGCCAUCUGGACGGAUACUGACGCUGAGACGCGAAAGCGUGGGUAGCAAACAGG